UUCAAAGUGGAAAAUACAAUUAUAAAUCCGUACAGAAGCUAGCAAAGGUGUGAAUAACUCUUUGAACUUGCCAGAAUGCUUUGAAUUCGCCUGAAAACGCGCCAUAAUUACUCUACGCUUGGAGCCAUAGCUUCCGGCAUGUAAUGUCUGGGCAUAGCUAAAUCAAAGCCAUCUUCACCUGGAUGGAAAAGGAUUCAAGGAACGCGCUUCCCUCGCCUACAUCCUCUCUUCCUACCUCCCUCACUUUGGCAAUUUUACUUUCUUGGAGUGACGCUUGUUUUUCUACGGGUCCGUACUAUCGCAACACUCUCGCGCUGCCGAGAGCAUCGUACCGCGUGCACAGCAUUGCACGAGGACAUCGUCGUAGAGUUAGUCAAUGGGUCAGUCAGAAAUGGAACGCUCAGUAAAUCUCGUUGGACAACAACUAGAUAGGAUCAAGAUUAACGAAGACCCUCCGAUCAGGGCCGUCGUGUAGCUUACAGGUUGACUGCUUCAUAGGAUCAUAAGAAAGAUAACUUGGCUCGUAAUUAGCCGCUUUUAUACAUAAAAAAAUCGCUGAAGACAUCCGAAAUCUGGUGACCCAGGAACGACCCAGCAUGUCCGAAAGGUCUUUGUUACUUUAAUUAGGGAAAAUUGGGCGUAUGGUUUCUGAAAUACUGUGUUUACAUACAAUAAUAUCGUUGGUACACAAGGUGAUUU